rnacentral:rRNA from 1 species
AUUGAACGCUGGCGGCAUGCUUUACACAUGCAAGUCGAACGGUAGAGGGGGCAACCCCUUGAGAGUGGCGAACGGGUGAGUAAUGCAUCGGAACGUGCCCCGUCGUGGGGGAUAACGAAGCGAAAGCUGUGCUAAUACCGCAUACGACCUCUGGAUGAAAGCGGGGGACCGAAGGGCCUGCCGCGAUUGGAGGGGCCGAUGUCAUAUUAGGUAGGUGGGGGGGUAAAGGCUCACCAAGCCAACGAUCUGUAGCUGGUCUGAGAGGCCGACCAGCCACACGGGCACUGAGACACGGGCCCGACUCCUACGGGAGGCAGCAGUAAGGAAUAUUGGUCAAUGGACGGAAGUCUGAACCAGCCAUGCCGCGUGAAGGAUGACGGCCCUCUGGGUUGUAAACUUCUUUUAUGUGGGACGAAAAAGGGCCAUUUUUGGUCAACUGACGGUACCAUAGGAAUAAGCACCGGCUAACUCCGUGCCAGCAGCCGCAGUAA